rnacentral:rRNA from 1 species
AACAAGGUUUCCGUAGGUGAACCUGCGGAAGGAUCAUUAUUGAAUUUUGAAUGGGGUUGUAGCUGGCCUUUCAAAGGGCAUGUGCACGCCUCGCUUCAAUCCACUUACCCCUGUGAACACUCUGUAGGUCGGCUCAAGGGACAAAUUCUUAACGGGGUUUGUUUUGGGCCUUCCUAUGUUUUAUUACAAACGUUUAAAGUCUAAAGAAUGUACUCGCGUCUAACGCAUUAUAUACAACUUUCAGCAACGGAUCUCUUGGCUCUCGCAUCGAUGAAGAACGCAGCGAAAUGCGAUAAGUAAUGUGAAUUGCAGAAUUCAGUGAAUCAUCGAAUCUUUGAACGCACCUUGCGCUCCUUGGUAUUCCGAGGAGCAUGCCUGUUUGAGUGUCAUGGAAUUAUCAACUUGUUUAUCUUUGUAUGAACGCAGUUGGAUUUGGAGGCCAUUGCCGGAUUGUAAUGACUCGGCUCCUCUUGAAUGCAUUAGCUCGAACCUUUGCGGAUCAGCUUUUGGUGUGAUAAUUGUCUACGCCGCUAACUGAGACACAUGAAUGGGAUCGGCUUACAGUCGUCCUUGAACGGACAAUUUAUUAUGACUUCUGACCUCAAAUCAGGUAGGAUUACCCGCUGAACUUAAGCAUAUCA